UUUACAUUCUUCGUUCUGACUCAUUUCUCUACUUUGGAUUUACAGAGACCACAGAUUUGUGUUGAGGAACAGCUGAACUACUGAGAUGUUCCACAUGGUCAUGAUGACAACCUCAGGAGAGCUGUACCAUGGAUUUCUGCUCCAGUUUUCCAAGCACAGAAAAGGUCACUGUUGUCCAGGAAAGGCUGGGUCCUAAACCAGAAGCCAAUGCUUGCUGUGGGAUGAUAAGUUUGUUCAUUAUGCAGAUCAUGCUCCUAAAGGAUUCGUUUUCUGCUCCAUGGCAACACUUUCUAAAUAUUAAAGCUUUCUUCACCUUGAACUUCAUAGAAUUAUUAAGGCUUUUCAUUCAUUGCUAUAUGCUAUCUUGGUGAGCUGAUUAAAAUAAACUUU